AGAAAUUGAAAUUUUAAUUUAGAAUUAGUUUGAGAAUUUAAUUUAGAAUUAGAAUUAGUUAUAUAAAUUCCUAUAUUGGCAUUAAAGUAGUUUCAUAGAUAGUAGAAAGAAAAUCUCAUGUCCUAUGAAGUGCUUGGUUCUGUUAUCAGAUAUUAGCACUAACAUAGUUCAACAUGUUUAGUUUGCCCCUAAUAACCAUGUAAUACCAGUUUCCCAAAUGAUUCUUUCUUUUUUUAAAAAAAAUAAUUUAUUUUUAUGUUAUGCAUUAGUGUUUUGCCUGAAUGUCUGUCUGUGUGAGGGAUCAGAUCCCCUGGAACUGUAGUUGUGAGCUGCCACGUGGGUGCUGGGAAUUCGACCCAGGUCCUAUGGAAGAGCAGCAGCCAGUGCUCUGCCGAGUCAUCUCUCCAGCCCCAAAUGUUUAUUUUUCAAAUAUCGAUUCUUCUGUGAAUAAGUGUUGGGGCUUGGGGAUGUAGCUCAGUUGGUAAAGUGCUUGCUACUAUGCCUGAGGCCCUGGGUGCAAUCCUGGAUGUGGUGCCAAAUGCUUGUAAUUUAUUUGUGCAGGGGAAUCAGAAGUUAAAGGCAUCCUCAGCUACAGACUUAGUUUAGGGAUGACCUGGGCUACAUGAGACUCUGUCUCAAAGAAAAAGAAAAAAGAAAGAAUGUGUGUUGACAGUUAACAGAAAAUUGUAAUAGAAAGAGUUCAUGGGAUUUGGGAGUCUGACCUGACUGAUUACUGAUUUAACUUUGUCAGUGGCAAUAGUUAUUGAGAUAUUGUACUAUGUACUAGGCCCUAAAGUAAAUACUUGGUAGUUAUUGAACUUUCUUUUCUAGAUGAGGAAACAGGUUUUGCAAUAAGUUCCUAGUUACAUACUUACACAAACCAAGAAAUAAGAACUUCUGUGUUGUAGACAGUAAUAUUAAACUUAGAUUGUGGUUGUCUUCGAAGUCUUUAAACUGUAAGUUGCUUCUUAACUGUUCUUCUUUUUCCCUUUCCUGUUUCAUUUCAAUUUACAAAGAACAAUAUUUCUAAGAGGCUUGAGGGCCCCUGAGUGCAUGUGAAGAGGGGAGGACUCAGCUAGUUCUUCCUGAGUUCCUUUCUUACCCUAUGCAUUGUGUUUGGAGGAUAAAAUAGAAUUUCAAGAGAUUUUGAUGAUGAUGGUCUUAUAGGAAAUGGAUUCUGUGUUUUGUGAUGCAUGCCUUUGCAUGCAGGGCUUCACAGAAGUGUAGGCAGACACUAUUCAGAGCCACGUGCCAGCCCCUUCUGUGUUAUUUUUUUGUUUUGUUUUAUACAGGCAGGGUUUCUCUGUGUAGCCCUGGCUGUCCUGGAACUCACUUUGUAGACCAGGCUGGCCUCGAACUCAGAAAUCCGCCUGCCUCUGCCUCCGGAGUGCUGGGAUUAAAGGUGUGCACCACCACACCCGGCUUCCCUUCUGUGUUUUUAAGUGCAAUUUUUGGUAGAGUCUCAAUGCACUCGUCCUGGUUGGCUGGCCUUAGAUUAAAAAUUUCCUGUCCAAGAUUCCCAAGUAGCUGGGAUUAUAAACCUGUGACUUCAGGCCAGUAAAACGGGUUAUUUGGCAGUAUACUUGGUGGUCUACGUGGCCUACACUAACUGUAAGUACUAAAUAUUAGACCUUGUAUGUGACUAGAGCAUACAUUGAGCAGGAGUUAGUAGCUUAACAUUUAUUGACAAGAACACUCUUAAAAUGGAGGUAUGCUAAAAGUGGUUAAUCUAGUGUCUGUUAAAUUAAUCUGCUAAAUUGGUAGACUUGAUAUGCUCUAAAAUCCUAGUGCUGAGACAAAUUCUGAACGCUGAACGCAAUAGUCUCCCUCUACACAGCUCCCACCCAUGUAGUUUGACCUUCUGUGGUUUCAGUUAGUGAUCAUUCAGCUGGGGUUUGAAAAUAUUAAAUGGAAAAUUCCAGAAAUAAUCUAGACCAGUGGUUCUCAACCUUUGGGUUUCAACCCCUUUGGCAAACCUUUAUCUCCAAAAUAUUUAUAUUACGAUUCAUAUCAGUAGCUAUGUGUUUUGAGUAGUGAUAAAAAUUUUGUACUGUCCCAUUGUUCUGGUCUAGACCCUAGACAACUUUUGGUCUAGCACACUCAUUGCCUGUGCCUACUAGUUGGUUAUUAGUUAUUGUAAGUAUCUUUACUUAUAUAGCUAGCAGUUCUGUUGUCCAAAGAAAAACUAGAAAUUACUUCCUUUAUUUAGUUAAAGGUAAGAUAUUUG
rnacentral:lncRNA from 1 species